rnacentral:rRNA from 1 species
UACGUAGGGUGCGAGCGUUAAUCGGAAUUACUGGGCGUAAAGCGUGCGCAGGCGGUUCGUUGUGUCGGCGGUGAAAGCCCCGGGCUUAACCUGGGAAUGGCCGUCGAAACUGGCGAACUGGAGUGUAGCAGAGGGGGGUGGAAUUCCGCGUGUAGCAGUGAAAUGCGUAGAGAUGCGGAGGAACACCGAUGGCGAAGGCAGCCCCCUGGGCUGACACUGACGCUCAGGCACGAAAGCGUGGGGAGCAAACAGG